AACGUAGGUGGCGAGCGUUAUCCGGAUUUACUGGGCGUAAAGGGCGUGCAGGCGGUUUGUUUAGUCUAGGGUGAAAGCUCCCGGCUUAACUGGGAGAGGUCCUUGGAUACUGGCAAACUUGAGGGAGGCAGAGGAAAGUGGAAUUCCCGGUGUAGUGGUGAUAUGCGUAGAUAUCGGGAGGAACACCAGUGGCGAAGGCGGCUUUUUGGGCCUUACCUGACGCUGAGACGCGAAAGCGUGGGGAGCGAACCGG
rnacentral:rRNA from 1 species